GUUUUUGAUCCCAUAGUAGUUCCUUUUACCUGUAUAAUUCAAUAAAAUGCAAUGUGUUUUCUUGUGUCCAUUCCAUAUCUUUACUGAAUUCAAUUAACAGAGUAUCCUACAGCACUGAAUUAGGUGAGCAAUGAAACGUUACUCUGUCACGUCCAGACAUGCACUUGAUUAAGUGUAACGUGACCUCGAAACAUUCCUUUGAUGCGACGCUGAAAAACCGACAACGGAUGGAACGCAGAUCUGUUGCGGUGUUACGGUGUGCCGUCCAUACGGAACGCGACGAAGGUACGCGACGGAGUUACGUUACGAUAUUUUGUUGCAUGUGUGGACCCACCUUUAAGCUACAAAAUAGUAGUUACAGGAUCAGGGCAUUCAAGUCUUGACAUGGCG
rnacentral:lncRNA from 1 species